GAUGAACGCUGGCGGCGUGCUUAACACAUGCAAGUCGAACGAAGCAUUUAAGACAGAUUACUUCGGUUUGAAGUCUUUUAUGACUGAGUGGCGGACGGGUGAGUAACGCGUGGGUAACCUGCCUCAUACAGGGGGAUAGCAGCUGGAAACGGCUGGUAAUACCGCAUAAGCGCACAGUACCACAUGGUACAGUGUGAAAAACUCCGGUGGUAUGAGAUGGACCCGCGUCUGAUUAGCUUGUUGGCGGGGUAACGGCCCACCAAGGCGACGAUCAGUAGCCGACCUGAGAGGGAGACCGGCCACAUUGGGACUGAGACACGGCCCAGACUCCUACGGGAGGCAGCAGUGGGGAAUAUUGAACAAUGGAGGAAACUCUGAUGCAGCGACGCCGCGUGAGUGAAGAAGUAGUUCGCUAUGUAAAGCUCUAUCAGCAGGGAAGAUAGUGACGGUACCUGACUAAGAAGCUCCGGCUAAAUACGUG
rnacentral:rRNA from 1 species